rnacentral:rRNA from 1 species
AUACGGAGGGUGCAAGCGUUAAUCGGAAUUACUGGGCGUAAAAGGCGUGCAGGCGGUCCUGCAAGUCCGGCGUGAAAGACCCCGGCCCAACCGGGGGGACGCGCUGGAAACUGCGGGGCUUGAGUACAGGAGGGGAUGCCGGAAUUCCAGGUGUAGGGGUGAAAUCUGUAGAUAUCUGGAAGAACACCAAUGGCGAAGGCAGGCAUCUGGCCAUGUACUGACGCUGAGACGCGAAGGUGCGGGGAGCAAACAGGUUUAGAUACCCUGGUAGUCCGCACAGUAAACGAUGUGCACCAGGUGGCGGGGGGUCGACCCUCGGUACCGUAGCUAACGCAUUAAGUGCACCGCCUGGGGAGUAUGCUCGCAAGGGUGCAACUCAAAGGAAUUGACGGGG